UGUAGUCAUAUGCUUGUCUCAAAGAUCAAGCCAUGCAUGUCUAAGUAUAAACAACUUUGUACUGUGAAACUGCGAAUGGCUCAUUAAAUCAGUUAUAGUUUAUUUGAUGGUACUUACUACAUGGAUAACCGUGGUAAUUCUAGAGCUAAUACAUGCGCAAAAGACCCGACUGUUUGGGAGGGUUGUAUUUAUUAGAUAAAAAACCAAUCAGCUUCGGCUGUGAGCGGUGAUUCAUAAUAACUUUGCGAAUCGCAUGGCCUUGUGCCGGCGAUGAAUCAUUCAAAUUUCUGCCCUAUCAACUUUCGAUGGUAAGGUAUUGGCUUACCAUGGUUGCAACGGGUAACGGGGAAUGACGAAA
rnacentral:rRNA from 1 species